GGGGAAGGCGCGCUAUCUGCAGUCGAGCGAACUGAUUAGAAGCUUGCUUCUAUGACGUUAGCGGCGGACGGGUGAGUAACACGUGGGCAACCUGCCUGUAAGACUGGGAUAACUUCGGGAAACCGAAGCUAAUACCGGAUAGGAUCUUCUCCUUCAUGGGAGAUGAUUGAAAGAUGGUUUCGGCUAUCACUUACAGAUGGGCCCGCGGUGCAUUAGCUAGUUGGUGAGGUAACGGCUCACCAAGGCAACGAUGCAUAGCCGACCUGAGAGGGUGAUCGGCCACACUGGGACUGAGACACGGCCCAGACUCCUACGGGAGGCAGCAGUAGGGAAUCUUCCGCAAUGGACGAAAGUCUGACGGAGCAACGCCGCGUGAGUGAUGAAGGCUUUCGGGUCGUAAAACUCUGUUGUUAGGGAAGAACAAGUACGAGAGUAACUGCUCGUACCUUGACGGUACCUAACCAGAAAGCCACGGCUAACUACGUGCCAGCAGCCGCGGUAAUACGUAGGUGGCAAGCGUUAUCCGGAAUUAUUGGGCGUAAAGCGCGCGCANGCGGUUUCUUAAUUCUGAUGUGAAAGCCCACGGCUCAACCGUGGAGGGUCAUUGGAAACUGUGUAACUUGAGUGCACAACACAAAAAAAGAAAUCCCUCUCUAUCCGUUCAAUUGCUAUAGAAUUGUAGGAUAAACCAACCGAAUGCGUCUUUUUUCUUCUACUCCAUCUCAUGAUCUAAGCAGGUGUCGCUUCCUAUUUUAAAUACCGAAAUCUAACGUGUAAGUCAAUAUUGUUACUAAUUUGUAACAUUUUGUUUUUUCUACCGUAUACAAGGUCGUCUGCAAAUUUGCAAAUUAGAAGAG
rnacentral:rRNA from 1 species